rnacentral:rRNA from 1 species
AUUGAACGCUGGCGGCAUGCUUUACACAUGCAAGUCGAACGGUAACAGGCCGCAAGGUGCUGACGAGUGGCGAACGGGUGAGUAAUGCAUCGGAACGUGCCCAGUCGUGGGGGAUAACGCAGCGAAAGCUGUGCUAAUACCGCAUACGAUCUAUGGAUGAAAGCGGGGGACCGUAAGGCCUCGCGCGAUUGGAGCGGCCGAUGUCAGAUUAGGUAGUUGGUGGGGUAAAGGCCUACCAAGCCGACGAUCUGUAGCUGGUCUGAGAGGACGACCAGCCACACUGGGACUGAGAGACGGCCCAGACUCCUACGGGAGGCAGCAGUGGGGAAUUUUGGACAAUGGGCGCAAGCCUGAUCCAGCAAUGCCGCGUGCAGGAAGAAGGCCUUCGGGUUGUAAACUGCUUUUGUACGGAACGAAACGGUCUGGGUUAAUACCCUGGGCUAAUGACGGUACCGUAAGAAUAAGCACCGGCUAACUACGUGCCAGCCGCCGCCGUAACAC